UCUCGAGUGCGCAUACCUACAGACGUGCACGACACAGGCAGGCGCCCUCAUCCUUGUAACCGCAGGACGCUGCAUUUCUCUCUCGCUUUGUGGGAGGUGUGCUGAGGCACACAAGUGGCACACAGACGGCGGAACAACAGCGAAAAAGACGUGACACAGCGCCACGGCAGCGCUAAAGAACGCCGCAGUAUCGCGUGCGGUCUUCGUCGAGACGCUUGCCGGUUGCCACCUCGUGCUCACCUACCGCGCCAACGCACCCAUAGAUGCACUCGCGUAGAUGCAACUCAUACACAUGAUUGCAGCAAACGAAUAUUUUUCACAACAACUCCGCCCCUUCCCCACCCCUCUACCUGGCACAGUAGGAGGUGCGCUUUCAACGAUGCCGCGCGUCCGCGUCGGCCUCCGACUGCGAUUCGUGAAGCUGCCGCACAUUGACGGCGAGCGCGUGUUUCGCGACGUCAUCAGCUUCGUAGAGCCAGAAGAUAGAAGCUAUGACGAUCUUCGCGCGUUGGUGGAGGCGAAGGUGAGGUUCAUGGAGCUCAGCCACUCCGACUUCACCGCUUUUCACAUCGAGGAGCACACUGGUGACCGUGUUGUUGUAGACACUGCUUACUUUAGUGCGCUGCUGCGGCAAUGGGCGCGCAGAGCGGCGAAGGAGCGUCCGCCGCCUAAGCGACCCACCGUACCAGAGAUGGCGGGGCUGGCGGUUCUCGGUGAGUCACCUUCGCCAUUUGUCAACUCUGAAUAUGAAGGCCACUUCGGAAGCGGCGGUAUGCCCACGGUGCCCACGAGCAACAUGAGCAGCGAUGACGACGUGGAGGACGAUGAGCGUCCACCGGACAUGUUGGAGUGCUUUGAAAUUGAGCUGCAGAGUAGUAAUUCUGUCGCUGUGGCUACAGCCGCCGCCAUCCCAAACCUGGCGUCGUCCGUGUCUGGUGCGAUGCCGUCACCGGUGCAGUUUGCCGCUCUCACGCGCGAGAACCUAGCGCGCCUGUGCGAUGGGGAUGUUGCGAAGUUGGGCGCAUCAGCCUUGCUCCCUGCAUCCGGGACUGCAUCACCUGGCAAACAGGCUGCUGGGAUAGACCCCCGCAGAGCCGCACCGAACUCCCAUCUGCCUGACCCUAAUGCCGAGGUCCUGGUGCGUGUUCGCGACCUGACGUGUCCGCCAGGGCAAGUCAAGUUCUACCUGUGCUGCAUCAUUCUUGCCGUGCGCUUUAAAACACCUAAGCCGGGGCUGACGGUCGCCGAGCUCGACCUGGGCGACGCCGAGGACGUCACGCAGGCAAUCACGGCAGUCUCGUUUGACGAGGUAGUUCACAAAGCCAUACGCGAUCACCUGCGCGGGGACCGCCGACAAGUUCUGGAGCUGCGUCAGGUGUACGUGCGGCGUAAGAACGACGUGGACGUACGCUACCAGACCAACGCGCACCCACUCCUGCUUCGCCUCGAUCGGUCGUCGAAAAUGGAGGUGGUGCGCAUCCUCGCAACGCCCGCACCGCAGCCAGGUAGCGGCGCCAUCGUCACGGUUCGGGAGCAGCUAGGCUCGGCAGGAGUGGUGGACGCGGCCCAGCUCAUGAGGCAGCCGCAGCGGUUGCGUCACGACUCCGGUGGUGCUAGUGGCGCUCCGUCGUCAGAGAACGGUGUCUCUCUCAGCGGCGUCGGCAGCGGCGCGUACCCGCCUGUGUGCUCGUCCUCAUCCUCCUCCUCGGGUCCGCGGCGAACGACCUUCACCAUGUGCACCACCAGCGGCAAUACCGGCGCGAGCGCGGCGCUCGUGAAUGGUGUCGUUCCGUCGAGCUUCGGACAGGAGUUGCGCAGUCGUCAAGAGAUGCUGCUGCGCCAGCAACGGUCGGCGGGUUCGGCACCGAUCGAGCCCGGGGUGGCGAUUGUCACUGCGCGCGAUGUUCGAGAGCGCGAGCCGCUGGUAGAGCAGCACGCCAACCGCGAGGAACAACGAAAGAUGCACAUUCGCCGUAAGGUGGAGGUAUCAACACAGUGUCUGCUCUGUGGGCUGGAUUGCAGCGACGAGUCGGCGUGCAUGGCGAUCGUCCGGCAGCAACUCAUGAGAAGCUCGCGCAACCGCGGCGCACAAGUGCCUAAUUUCGCGCAGGUGAAGCGCGACCUCUCGGACCGUCGGCGGGUGCCGGAAGGGAAAGUGCCGACGCGGCUCGUGUGCACACAUACCUUUGUGAACAGCGCCACUCGCACGGUCCACGUCGUUCACCCGCGCUGCGCACACUUGUGCUCCGCCUACCAAAGCGGGGGCGAGUUGGAAGAUAUCGUGGUGUGCGAUCUGAGGAUGAACGUGUGCACGCUUUGCGGGAUGCCCGGCGCGUGCGUGGCGUGCUAUCAUCCCCGAUGCACGGAGAUGUUCCACGUGGUGUGUGCCCUCUACAGCGGCGGCUACGUAAACUUCGGCCAGCGAGACCCCUUCUGGCCCUGCCCCGCCUGCCCGCGUCACACACAGGUGGUGGUCGUAUCGAAGAAGAGACCGGAGGGAAGCAACGUCUUGCACGUUGACCACAGCUGUUGGGAGGACGGAAUCGCCUUCGACUCGCGUGUGGUGGAGUCCACAGACCUCCGCGACCCGGACGAGAACGACGGAGAGUGAGCGCUCAGCCACACGUAAUUCUGCAGCGGAAAUGCAACCAAAGUAGCAGUGGAGAGAGCGGCUUCCUCGGUGCUGCUCGCUCCUGGCAUCGUCCCCGUCCCCCGUACACACGACACGUUCUGUUUUGUUCGUUUGCCGACGCCGGUUUUCAUAGACGCACCCCCCACCCUACCAAACAAAACGCAAGCGAUGCCACGUGCUGUGAUAUGCUGCUCACGACUGCCGUUCCUUUACCAUGAUUCCUUUUACGAAUGGAACGUCGGUCGCACGCGACGGGCCGUCGCCAUUCCGACACGCUCUCCUCUUUUAGUGCAACCGUUGUGCUUCUCUUUCUCUCCUGCGGGCUUGUUGAUCACACACGCACAUCCACAG
rnacentral:misc_RNA from 1 species